rnacentral:siRNA from 1 species
AGGCAAUAACAGGUCUGUG